GAGGAGAAGAAGGAGUAAUGGACGAGGAAGAGAAAGUUGCUUUGCAGAUGAUAGAGGAGCUUCUCAAUACAAACUAAAUAUUAUUUGCUUAUAUAUAGCUAUUUUUAUUGCUGAUUUACAGCCAUAAUUAUUAAUUAUACCUCCCAAGAACAAUGUUCAUCACGAACAGACUAAACACGUUAGCAGGAAACUCCACUUCAUCAGAGACAUCAUCGAGAAAGGGGAAGUGACAGUUGAGAAGAUACACACUUCGAAGAACCCUGCAGACAUAUUAACUAAGGUCGUUCUUGUGAAGAAGUUUGAAGCGGCUCUGAGGGUUCUCGGAGUGGCCAAGCACUGAGGUGUUUGGCAUUGCCUGGCAAGACACGAGAUGGCAACAUGGUAGCUGCAGAUAAAGCUGAUUAAUCAUCAAGGUGGAGAUUGUUACGUUGGUGAUGAAGAAUCAGUUAUAUUGGAAGCUUGAACCAGUCGAGAUUGACAAUUGGGUUAUAUGGCGUUUUGGGUUAAACCGCCGGUUAGAUAUUACUCAAUGGUUUACGGUUAUUGAAAACCGGUUAUCAGUUGUAACUAUCCUUGCCUAAUAUAAAAGCAAAGCUCGUGAGUUGCAUUAGUUAUCAGAGAAAGAUAGAUUGUACUAGGGUUACAAACUUUAGGUCACGGCCGUUGUGAUCUUGGAAGAGUUUAGUAAUUUGCCUUGCCAGGCCCCAGAGACGUAGCCACAUCGGUGAACUAUGGGUAAUCAAUUAAUCUCUGUGUGUGCUCCUGUUCUUAUUUCGUUUCUCUUUCGUUCUCUUGCGUGUUUGUGUUCCUGAGUGUUUUUCCGUGAGAGUUCGUGUCGCGAAUUGUGCAACGUCGGUUUGAGGUUGAACAGCUUCGCAGUUCAUAUCUAACAUCAAACGAACUUGAUUCCUAACAAUGUGGACAAUUGAUUGGGAUGUACGUUCGUAGGUAUGCUAAAAACAAUGUACACGGCCAUGUGACACUUGUACAACUUGUGCCUUCCCUACAUAUAUACGAUCUUAUCUUCGAAAUUUAAAUAGUUUUACACUUAUAACCAUACAUCCUUAACCUUAGCAAUCACUCUAUACCAACAACUCCAGCUAAAUUCUCUCUCUGUAAUAGACUAGCUAGCGAGGACGUCACAAAUGUAAUAAGGGUAAGAACAAGUACAAACCUUUCAUCUACCAAAAUUUAACCAGUGUAUAUAAAUAUACAACAUUACUAUUUACCAAACAUCCAUCUUACAUAUACUACUCGUCAUCAAGAAUUCAUGUUCUCUCUCUGACAAAAGAACUCAGAGUAAGUAAGAAAUGGUACAGACGAAGAAGUUCAGAGGUGUCAGGCAACGCCAUUGGGGUUCUUGGGUCGCUGAGAUUCGUCAUCCUCUCUUGUACCUUUCUUCUUUCUUUCCUUUUUUCUAUGUUGUUCAUUUAUUCCCCCUUUCUGAUGCAUUCAGUACACAACCAAACACACACACGCUAACAUAUAUAUACAUGAUCGUUUUACUCAUCUGCUUUCAUCUCUUUAGCUAACACAUAAACCCCAUUUUAAUAUUUUAUUGCUUAUACGGACUAUAUUGUAUAACAUGCAUGAUCAAAGGAAACGGAGAAUUUGGCUUGGGACGUUUGAGACGGCAGAGGAGGCAGCAAGAGCCUACGACGAGGCUGCCGUUUUAAUGAGCGGCCGUAACGCCAAGACCAACUUCCCCGUCAACAACAACAACAACAACAACACAGGAGACACAUCGGAGGGCAAAACCGAUAUUUCAUCUUCUUCAUCGUCAUCUUCUUCAUCGUCAUCUUCAUCACUCUCUUCUAUCCUCAGCGCUAAACUGAGGAAAUGCUGCAAGUCUCCUUCGCCUUCCCUCACCUGCCUGCGUCUUGACACAGCCAGCUCCCCCCUCGGAGUCUGGCAGAAACGCGCCGGUUCCAAGUCUGAUUCCAGUUGGGUCAUGACGGUCGAGCUCGGUCCCGCUAGCUCCUCCCAGGAGCCUACGAAAAAUGCUUCACAAGACGAUGUUGGUCCAUCCACUCAGGUUGGCGGCGGUGGAGGAGGAGGAGAAGAAGGAGUAAUGGACGAGGAAGAGAAAGUUGCUUUGCAGAUGAUAGAGGAGCUUCUCAAUACAAACUAAAUAUUAUUUGCUUAUAUAUAGCUAUUUUUAUUGCUGAUUUACAGCCAUAAUUAUUAAUUAUACCUCAUAUAUGCUAUAUAUCGUGUUUAUAUUUAUAUAUGUGAUAGUUAUAUUUUGUUUUAUAUUUCAUUUUGUGUCCAAUAAAGUGUUAGUAUUUGUAACUACAAUCCAGAAGUGACCU
rnacentral:lncRNA from 1 species